rnacentral:rRNA from 1 species
CAAUAGCGUAUAUUAAAGUUGUUGCAGUUAAAAAGCUCGUAGUUGAAGUUUGGGCCUGGGCGGGCGGUCUACCUAUGGUGAGUACUGCUGCGGCCGGGUCUUUCCUUCUGGCUAGCCCUCGGGCGAACCAGGACGAUUACGUUGAGGAAAUUAGAGUGUUCAAAGCAGGCCUUUGCUCGGAUAUAUUAGCAUGGAAUAAUAGAAUAGGACGCAUGGUUCUAUUUUGUUGGUUUCUAGGACCAUCGUAAUGAUUAAUAGGGACGGUCGGGGGCAUCAGUAUUCAGUUGUCAGAGGUGAAAUUCUUGGAUUAACUGAAGACUAACUACUGCGAAAGCAUUUGCCAAGGACGUUUUCAUUAA